UACGGAGGGUGCAAGCGUUAAUCGGAAUUACUGGGCGUAAAGCGUGCGUAGGCGGUUCGUUAAGUCUGUUGUGAAAGCCCCGGGCUCAACCUGGGAAUGGCAAUGGAUACUGGCGAGCUAGAGUGUGUCAGAGGAUGGUGGAAUUCCCGGUGUAGCGGUGAAAUGCGUAGAGAUCGGGAGGAACAUCAGUGGCGAAGGCGGCCAUCUGGGACACACUGACGCUGAGGCACGAAAGCGUGGGGAGCAAACAGGAUUGAG
rnacentral:rRNA from 1 species